rnacentral:misc_RNA from 1 species
GUGAAGAACGUAGUGAAAUGCGAUAAGUAAUGUGAAUUGCAGAAUUCAGUGAAUCAUCGAAUCUUUGAACGCAUCUUGCGCUCCUUGGUAUUCUGAGGAGCAUGCCUGUUUGAGUGUCAUUAAAUUCUCAACUACACUGACUUUGAAUUGGUGUGGCUUGGAUUUGGGGGGAAAAUUGUUGUGGGCUUUUUGUAUAGUCUGCUCCCCUGAAAUUGAUUAGCGGUACCUUUGUGGAACUGUCUACAGGUGUGAUAAUUAUCUACAUCUGCUGGAAUGCUGCUUUCUAAACCUUACUUGUAUUGACAAUCUUGACCUCAAAUCAGGUAGGACUACCCGCUGAACUUAAGCAUAUCAAUAAGCGGAGGA